rnacentral:RNase_P_RNA from 2 species
UGGGCUGGCCGGGCGACCGCGUUCCCCUCACGGGGACCGAGGAAGGUCCGGGCUCCACAGGGCAGGGUGAUGGCCAACAGCCAUCCGGGGCAACCCGCGGGACAGUGCCACAGAGAACAGACCGCCUCUCCCCACGGGGAGCGGCAAGGGUGAAACGGUGGUGCAAGAGACCACCAGCGCUCCGGGCGACCGGAGCGGCUAGGUAAACCCCACCCGGAGCAAGAUCGAGCAGUGUGUGACCGAGGGCGGCCCGCCCGAGCACACGGGUAGAUCGCUCGAGGGAGUCGGCAACGGCUCUCCUAGAUGGAUGGUCGCCCCGCCCCGGUUCCGGCCGGUGCGGACAGAACCCGGCCUACAGGCCAGCCCAUUCG